AGUCCGUGGUAUGGGCAUUUUUUAAUAACCAUUUUAAUGUGCUCUCAAGCUUCAUGGAAACUUUCACCUUCUAAUUGCUUAAACAUAGAAACCUCUCUCCUUAGCU
rfam:Gossypium raimondii chromosome 11, whole genome shotgun sequence.